rnacentral:rRNA from 1 species
GAUCCUGGCUCAGGAUGAACGCUAGCUACAGGCUUAACACAUGCAAGUCGAGGGGCAUCAGUUUGGUUUGCUUGCAAACCAAAGCUGGCGACCGGCGCACGGGUGAGUAACACGUAUCCAACCUGCCUCAUACUCGGGGAUAGCCUUUCGAAAGAAAGAUUAAUAUCCGAUAGCAUAUAUUUCCCGCAUGGGUUUUAUAUUAAAGAAAUUCGGUAUGAGAUGGGGAUGCGUUCCAUUAGUUUGUUGGGGGGUAACGG